UAUCUCUGUAGAGUCUGCAUAUCAAUAAGCGGAGGAAAAGAAACUAACAAGGAUUCCCUUAGUAACGGCGAGUGAAGCGGGAAGAGCUCAAAUUUGAAAUCUUCAAGGUUCUACCUUGACGAAUUGUAGUUUAAAGAAGUGUUUUCUGUUGGAGUUUUGGUAAAAGUUCUUUGGAAUAGGACAUCAUAGAGGGUGAGAAUCCCGUAUUUGACCAUUUCUUCCAGCUGUGUGAUACACUUUCAAAGAGUCGGAUUGUUCGGGAAUGCAGUCCAAAAUGGGUGGUAAAUUUCAUCUAAAGCUAAAUAUUGGCGAGAGACCGAUAGCGAACAAGUACCGUGAGGGAAAGAUGAAAAGAACUUUGAAAAGAGAGUUAAACAGUACGUGAAAUUGUCAAAAGGGAAGCGUUUGACACCAGUGUUGUUUUCUCGAAAAUCAAUUAAAAAUGGCCGGAUUUUGUGUUGUAUUGACUUUAUCAGCUUUCUGCACUUUUUCCUUGUCUUUUUUAAUGCACUUUUCGUUUAACAAGUCAACAUCAAUUUCUUUUGUCGUAAAAGAGUCAUUGGAAGGUGGCUUUCACUUCGGUGAAAGUGUUUAUAGCCUUUGACUUCUGCAAUCGGAGAGAUUGAGGUCUGCAGCGUAGAUCCUUCGGGGUUAGAUACAUUUGUGCUAAGUUAUAGUUUUUCAUAGACAACAUGUUGACUAUGAUUAAUCAUGUAGCUUACUCGCUUAUGCUAUUUUACCUACGCUUAGGAUGUUGAGUAGCGACAUACGCAC
rnacentral:rRNA from 1 species